GCUCACCAAGACGACGACGGGUAGCCGGCCUGAGAGGGCGACCGGCCACACUGGGACUGAGACACGGCCCAGACUCCUACGGGAGGCAGCAGUGGGGAAUAUUGCACAAUGGGGGAAACCCUGAUGCAGCGACGCAGCGUGCGGGAUGACGGCCUUCGGGUUGUAAACCGCUUUCAGCAGGGAAGAAGCCCCUCGGGGUGACGGUACCUGCAGAAGAAGUACCGGCUAACUACGUGCCAGCAGCCGCGGUAAUACAAA
rnacentral:rRNA from 1 species